GGAUGAUCAGCCACACUGGAACAGAGACACGGUCCAGACUCCUACGGGAGGCAGCAGUGGGGAAUUUUGCGCAAUGGGGGAAACCCUGACGCAGCAACGCCGCGUGAGUGAUGAAGGCUUUCGGGUCGUAAAGCUCUGUCAGAGGGGAAGAAAUGGGUCGUGCUAAUAUCGCGACUUCUUGACGGUACCCUCAAAGGAAGCACCGGCUAACUCCGUGCCAGCAGCCGCGGUAAUACAAGG
rnacentral:rRNA from 1 species